rnacentral:ncRNA from 2 species
CAAUACUUGUCGGAGUGCCAAAGCUAAGUAAUUAGUUUUUGGCUGAGAUCGCGAAAGCGGGAUCCGUGAACCUGAUCAGGUUAAUACCUGCGUAGGGAACAAGCUGCCUAAAAUG